AAAGCUUUAAGUUAAUUAAACUAUUAACCUUCAAAGUUAAAAUUAUGCCAAUGCGUAAGCUUUA
rnacentral:tRNA from 1 species